GGAAUAUUGGGCAAUGGAGGCAACUCUGACCCAGCGACGCCGCGUGCGGGAUGAAGGCCUUCGGGUUGUAAACCGCUUUCAGUAGGGAAGAAGCGAAAGUGACGGUACCUACAAAAGAAGCACCGGCUAACUAUGUGCCAGCAGCCGCGGUAAUACAUAGGGUGCAAGCGUUGUCCGGAAUUAUUGGGCGUAAAGAGCUCGUAGGUCGUUUGUUACGUCGGAUGUGAAAACCUGAGGCUCAACCUCAGGCCUGCAUUCGAUACGGGCAAACUAGAGUUUGGUAGGGGAGACUGGAAUUCCUGGUGUAGCGGUGGAAUGCGCAGAUAUCAGGAGGAACACCAAUGGCGAAGGCAGGUCUCUGGGCCAAUACUGACACUGAGGAGCGAAAGUCUGGGGAGCGAACAGGAUUAGAUACCCUGGUAGUCCAGACCGUAAACGGUGGGCACUAGUUGUGGGAACCUUCCACGGUUUCUGCGACGCAGCUAACGCAUUAAGUGCCCCGCCUGGGGAGUACGAUCGCAAGAUUAAAACUCAAAGGAAUUGACGG
rnacentral:rRNA from 1 species